rnacentral:tRNA from 1 species
GCCCGGGUGGCGAAAUUGGUAGACGCAGCAGACUCAAAAUCUGCCGGUGGCAACACCGUGCCGGUUCGAUUCCGGCUCCGGGCACCA